rnacentral:lncRNA from 1 species
GUCUUUUUUCAUCUUUUUAGGGCUGCACCCAUGGCAUAGGGAGGUUCCCAGGCUAGGGGUCUAACUGGAGCUGUAGCUGCCAGCCUAUGCCAGAGCCACAGCAACGCCAGAUCUGAGCCACAUCUGUGACCUACACCACAGCUCAUGGCAAUGCCGGAUCCUCAACCCACUGAGAAAGGUCAGGGAUUGAACCUGCAACCUCAUGGUUCCUAGUCAGAUUCAUUAACCCUGAGCCUCUUCCCCCCUUUUAUUCUUUGUCUUCCAAAAAGCUGCUCCUUAGGACUUUCUCCAUCCCCACUCAUUAUCUGUCACUUGCCCCCACCAUGGUCAGACUCACCCACGAUGCUUUAACCAGUCAGCCUUCCUGAAGUUUCCAAGUGCCCUAAUACACAGGGCCCAGGCCCAUUUCUCGGUCUUAUCUUCCUGGCCCUCUUUGCCUCUCUACAACCUCUGAUCACACCAUCCUUCCUGAAUCCCUGCCCUCCCUGGGCCUCCAGGCCAGGGCUCUGCCUUCCUUGUAUCUUUCUUCCUUUCCCAUGCAGCUUUCUCCAACUCCAUCUUCAAACUGGGCCUACCGCAGGCCUUGUCCUCAACCCUCUUUUCUCUUCUUGACCAGCCUGGACCACCUAUUGGUAUUUUACAAAGACAGCUGGGUAAGCUGGGGAACAGGAAUUGCCUCCUUGUCUACACAUGGCCCAAACUCAGCUCCUGGCGCUGUCCUCUCUAAGAGGUCUGAGUGGAAAGCCUUCGGAGCCUCCUUGUCUGUUUUGGGAGGCCUCACUCUGGCCCUCAGCUAAGCUUGCCUUUAUUUAAGAGGGGUUGGGUUCACCUCUCUCUCAAGGGCUUUUAGAGGGCCAAGUAGAGUCAGUUGGCACUACAGCAAACAGCCAGAGUGCUGAUGUCUGAGCAAAUAUGGUGUCUGGGUACACUUUCUAGCUGUGUGACCUUGGGGCUUGACCAAGCCAUUUAUCUCUUUGUGCCUCAGUCUCCUUGCCUGGAAAAUGGAGGUGGGUUGAGAAUUAUAGGGGUCACACACUUAACACACUGAAAACAAAAGCUUGUGUGUAGUAAGCAUUUACUAGAUGUUAGCUAUUAUCAUCAAUGCUUCAAUCCUUCUCUCAGGGAGAUGAGGUGAAAAAGGAUCCCUGCCCCCUCCAUUCCACCUCUGCGUCCAGAGUAGAGGGACCCUGGGAUCAGAGAGGUAUGUUAUAGUCCACAUACAUCAAGGAAAAGGGGGUAGGGCAGGUUUCUUUCCAAAUCUCAGAUAUCAUCCCCCUCUCUUAUGCACAUGUCUGAGUUGUCAGUAUAUUGCUGUGUCCCUGGUCCACUCUCUAGGUUGUGAGACCCUUGUAGACUGGUACUUGCUGGGCUCACCUCGGUGUCUCCAUGGCAACCUGCAUACAAUAGGUGCUCCACUAAUGUGACAAAUGGAACAAGCUAAGAAAGGUAUUAGAAGAAAGGAAACUAAGGCCACAGAAGCUGAGGCUGAAGUCCUCCAUAUUUGAAAUUCUUGACCAAUCUAGGAAGUUAACUUCCGGAUAAUUAUGAAGCUACAGCUGCUCAGACUGAAGAGAAGAAAGAACUGUGCAUUGUCAAACAAUAGGCAUUUUGCUUUCCAUUAUCCUCCAUGGUUGAUUAUGAAGGAAGCAGAGAAAAAAAAAAAGAGAAGGAGAAGUUUUUGGUAGACAUGAUUUUAAGAUGGUAAACAAUGAGCACCCCUAGCUACUGUUAAAUUAAGAACAAGAUUAAAGGACUCGUUGAUGCAGCUGGUCAGAAAGCAUCUGAACACGGUAACAGGUAGAGUUGGUGCAAAAGCAUAUCCUACUUAGGAUUAGUGAGAUGAGAAAGAUGAUAUGCCUUGCCAGGGGCAUCCGAGCAGGCGGCUGUCACUGUGAGUCAUUUUCAGGCCUUCUGGGGUUCCUUCCUCUGUGGGUCCUCCCAGUUCACUGGGACCCUAGCAUGAAGCCGGCUUCCUAUGUGGGGCUUUAGCUGGACAGUUAACUGUGCCUCAGAGCUCUCCUCAACUUCCCCCACCCACUUCCAACAACAACCUGGUCAAAAAUAUAUUGCCAAAGUAGUGGGUCAAAGAGUGUCCUUCCUUAGGGCUGAAAAAAAAGAAAAAAAAAAGUGUGUCCUUCCCUCAAAAUUCAUGCUCACCCAGAAAUUCAGAAUGUGAUACAGAUUCUUUGUAGAUAUAAUUAGUCAAGGGCCUUAAGAUAGCAUCUUUCUAAAUCUAGGGUAGGCCCUGAAUCUGGUUUCCUUAUUGGAAGAGAAGAGGACACAAAGAGACAACAGAAGAAGGCCAGGUGACAAUGGAGUGAUGCAGAGAUUGGACUGAUGCUGCCAUAAGCUAAGGAGCACCUGGGGCCACCAGAGCUGGAAGACCUGCCAGGUCGCUGACAUCUUGAUUUCAGAUAUUUAGACUCCAGAACUAGAAAGAACAACUUUGUGCUAAGCCAUUGAGUUGGUGGAACUUUUUUAUGACUGCUCUAGCAAACUCAUAUAGCCAGUGGGAGGCUAGUCACUGAAAAUGGAUAAAUCUCUUGACACAUUUUAAAUCUAAUUAAACUGGAGAGCAGAUGACUUAAACCCAAAGGAAAGAAUCUCAGCUGGUGGAGUUUCCAGCAGUAUGGUGGACCAAUAGGGUUUUUAGGUAUAGUUUUUUCCCAAGUUCCAUCAUAAAUCACCUCAUGAAAGUAACCAAUGGCUCUUAUUGAUAGGGCCCAAGCAAGUAGCUGUGAAUCCUUUCCCAAGUUGUUGACUCAUGUUUGCUUCAGUUGAAAAUUUAGUUUCAAGGUGGAACAAUUAAGGAAGUAUGUAGAAAUUGUACUGAAAAAUGGCUAGAAUGAUGUCGGGCAAGAAAUUUGCUCUGUGAUCUGAGAAUAUCGACCCAUCUAUUUUCAAAGCACUGCAUUGAGAGCUAAGAUAGGAAUACAAAUUCGAUCCAAAGCAGAGAGUUAAUUCUACCUAUGAAGUAGUCUUGCAAAAAAAAAAAAAAAUUAGCUCUGACUGUGCUCUAACCUUUCAAUCUAAUUAUGAGUUAUAUUAACUAUACAGAAGAGAGGACCAUGUUAAGAGACACCAUGAGAAUGCCAUCAACAAUGCUUUUUCAACUUUAGCUGCAUGGGAAUCACCUGAAGAGCUUUAGGGGGCUGGACAAUUCAGAUUCACAAGGGUUGGUGGGGAUGCCUGAGAUUUUGUAUUUCUAACAAGUUCCUCCAUGAUUGAGACCACACUUUGAGAACUCUUGCUCCCACACCACGGCCACAGCAAUGUGGGAUCCAAGCUGCAUCUGCAACCUACACCACAGCCUACAGCAACGCUGGAUCCCCAACCCA